GCAGGAAAAGGUGUGGCAAAUCCUCAAAUUCCCCCCUAAAAAAACCUUUUCUCGAAGUUAAAGCACUGGUGCCUCUUCGUCUCUAUCAUCUCCGUCAAUCCUCUUCUCAAAACAAAAAAUCUCCGUCAAUCCUAGCCUGCUCAUGACCACAUCCACAUACACCAGUGCCUUAAAUAAGGAUCCGCCGAAGGAAGAUUUCACUGCUGGCUUAUGCGAAACUAAUUCCCGACCUAUCCAGGCGCUACUUCUUGUCUCUUAUCUUCAAUUUUUUUGUUUUGGCGCUGUCCUCAAACCCUAGCUCUGCUGAUCUUAGGUUGGGCAUAAAGCUGCGACGAACCCGUGUGUGUAGGUCUCAGCUCAUUGGCGCGAGUUCUCGCCUUCCUCAUUUCUGGUGCGGUCGGCCCUCCGCCAAUAAUGAAGUAGAGAUGCCGAAGCAGAUUUUGAAGAAAUAGUAAUACAGGAUAUGUGUCUGCUGGCUGAGCCCAGUUGUGGGCCUCCUCGUUGUUUAUGAUGUCGGGUUUCCACCUACGUAAUUUGCUACAGCUUCACAUCAUUCCUACUUCCUCCAUAGCAGGUGAUUCUUCACAUGUAUUAACAUCAUUUUUGUCGUAAAAAAGUGGCGAUUUCAUAUCUUAUAAGAAGUCUCAUGCAUUACCUCACUUGCCUAGUUUUUGCGCCUCAUUUCAGUAAGUUCUUGCAAUGUUCUCCUCUUGUAAAACACUUGUUCUUCUAGUGAAAAAUUAGUUGAUUAAUAGUAAAAAAUAGUCUCCCAUGCAUGUCAAGAAUUUCCCAAGUUUUGGUAUAUCUUGAUCUGUAUGUAUUUUUGUGGCACUGGUUGACUUUAAGCACGACCAUGUUUAUCAAUGAAAAAUCUGUUAGAUAUAUCUUUGGUAAAAAAAUAGAAGAGCUAGUAACAUUAAUGAACUUAUUGAACUUCUGCACCAUUGUGAGGUCACAAUAAGGACAGUUUGGUUUCACAUGCUUCAUUUGGUUGAGUAAUCCAAUGACAUCUGUAAAAUUGGAGAUUAAUUAUUUGAAAGUCUAAAAUAUUAAUAUUUUGAAAUCUCAUUUACAACUAUAAAUUAUAGAGAUACCUGAGCAUUCUUCAUCUUUCUCUAUAUGUUCUUCUAAUAUUUCCUCCGUAGCAAACUCGAAGUAGUAAUCUGGGUAACCUUUGAUUCUUUCACCUCCUGUACUUUUGUAUUGUAUGCAAAAAUAAUUAUAUUUCACUACUUAGCUGGUAAUACUUUGUGGAAUCCGCACUUAAAAUUCCUAAAUGCAUAAGUUGAUUCUAUCAACUUCCCGAUAGUAUCCUGAUUUGUUUGGCCCUGUUAGAAAAAUCAAAAUAUAGUAAGUAGUUAUUGUAUAAAAAAAUAGAAAAACUUGCAAGUCAAUAUGUAAUGACAAAACCUUAUCAUCCAUGAAUAUCAUAUCGGCAAAAUAUACUUAGUUGUUGUAUAAAACAAUAGAACAAUCUGUAAGUAAAUACGUAAUGACUAAACAUUUUUGUCCAUGAAUCAUCAUAUCGAGGCUCCUAAGCCAAUGACUUAUAAAAUUGAUUGAAUCUCAUAUUCCCAUUACUUGCACUUGAAUGUCAAGGUCGUUCUUUUGCUAUGAACUCACAAAGAUUGUUGUAUGCCCUUGCUGCAAAAGGAUCAUACAAUUGCUAGUCAAUUAAUAUUGUACCUAUGAAUAUUUUAUCCAGAAUAACAAUUACAAACCUUGAUGCUCCAAAUGAGAGGCCACUCGAAAGAUAGAUUUGAUCUAGAAUAGAAGUUAUGAAACCUUGAUGAUCUAGAUGAGAGGCCACUCGAAAGAUAGAUUUGAUCUGGCAUAGAAGUUAUGAACCUUGAUGAUUCAGGUGAGAGGCCACUCAGAAGGUUGCUUGGUGUGACUUCGUCCGACGGCGCGACGUUGCGUAGUUCAAUUAGAAGACUUUGAUGUUGUUGGUAGUGUGCUGGUUAGGUAGCAGAUUUGGCUUACUUUGAUUUUUAGGUGUGUGCUGUGAGCGGUCGGCCGUAUGUCUUCUUAUGUGUUAUGGUUGACUUGGCAAGUAUUACGUGUUGAGUAAUUUUGGUUGAGUCCGUGUGGAGUUCUGUAUGUAGUCCAUGUAUGUGUCUUAUUUGUAUCUGCGUGUUCACGUUUGACUCUUUGUUUUUGACGCUGUGUUCACGUUUGGAAUUGGAUGCACGUGAGCUUCCGUAUCUUCAACGGUUUAUCCCUAA